UACGUAGGUGACCAGCGUUGUCCGGAUUUACUGGGCGUAAAGAGCGCGCAGGCGGUCGUUCAAGUCGAGUGUGAAAGCCCCCGGCUCAACUGGGGAGGGUCACUCGAUACUGAUCGACUUGAAGGCAGGAGAGGGAAGCGGAAUUCCCGGUGUAGUGGUGAAAUGCGCAGAUAUCAGGAAGAACACCAAUGGCGAAGGCAGCUCUCUGGGACGGUACUGACGCUGAGACGCGAAAGCGUGGGGAGCGAACAGG
rnacentral:rRNA from 1 species